CAGGGAAAAGGUGGAAAACACAGGGAAAAGGUGGAAAAACACCAGGAUGAGGCAAAACCCGCCAAAAUGAGGUGGGAAAACACCGGUAAAAAGUAAAAAACGCCCAGAAUGAGGUGGAAAAAUCCCAAAAUGAGGUGGAAAUGGAGGGAAUAAUUGAGGAUUCAUGGAUUGGGAUAAGGAUCGGGAGAGAUCCCUUGGAAAAUCCCAUCCGGGCACGACAGACUCGGCAUGUGGGAUACGAUGAGUUUAUUUCCAACAGAAUCAGAACAGGAUUAACAGGACCCCAAAUCCGACUUUUCCCUCCCCCAAUUCCCUCUCUCCCUCAAUCCCUCAAUCCUGGAAGCCGGGGCCAUCCCAGGGGAGUUUUCCAUGGAUUUUUCCAACGUGAAUCCAUCCCACAGCGAGUUUUUCGUGGAUUUCUCCGCCACGGGAAAGAGUUUUCCAUGGAUUUAUCAACGUGAAUUCGUUCUACAGCAAAUUUUUCAUGGAUUUCUCUGCCACGGGAAAGUUUUCCAUGGAUUUUUCCCAUGUGAAUCCAUCCCAAGGUAAGUUUUCCAUGGGUUUCUCCAUGAAUCCAUCCCAAGGUGAGUUUUCCAUGAUUUUUCCAACUCAAAUCCAUCCCACAGCAAGAGUUUUCCAUGGAUUUCUCCAACGCCUCAUUCCUGUGGAAGACAAUUCCUCAUGGACUUUUCCAAGGAGUCAAAGCUUUGGGAAUAUCCUGCUCCAAAGGCUUUUUCCUCUGUGGGAUUCCUGCCAGGAAUCUGCUCCUUUUUCCAUGGAUCCCUGCUAGGAUCCCGCUCCAGGAUGAGCUUCCUGUCGGACGCGCCACGGAAUUUUGGGAAUUUCCACUCCAGCACCUUGGAAUCAUCUCCGGAGUCGUUCCUUUCCAAAAUAUUCCCGCUACGGAAUUCCAUCUGUGCCGUGAUUGGUUUCUUCCGACUUAAUUCUUAUUCCAGAGGCGGUGCUGCCGUUCCUGGACACGGGAGAAGCUUCCGGCAGCUUCCCAUGAAAUCCAGCCCCCGGAGCCUCCCGGAAUUCGGCCGUGCAAAGCCAGUCCUAAUGGAAAAACCUUGGGAUGGGCUGGAAAAAGAAUGAAAUGAGGAAAAAAUA